rnacentral:rRNA from 1 species
AGGACGAACGCUGGCGGCGUGCUUAACACAUGCAAGUCGAACGGAAAGGCCCUUCGGGGUACUCGAGUGGCGAACGGGUGAGUAACACGUGGGUGAUCUGCCCUGCACUUCGGGAUAAGCCUGGGAAACUGGGUCUAAUACCGGAUAUACCUCAUGGACUGCAUGGUCGGUGGGGGAAAGCUUUUGCGGUGUGGGAUGGGCCCGCGGCCUAUCAGCUUGUUGGUGGGGUGAUGGCCUACCAAGGCGUCGACGGGUAGCCGGCCUGAGAGGGUGUCCGGCCACACUGGGACUGAGAUACGGCCCAGACUCCUACGGGAGGCAGCAGUGGGGAAUAUUGCACAAUGGGCGCAAGCCUGAUGCAGCGACGCCGCGUGGGGAUGACGGCCUUCGGGUUGUAACCUCUUUCAGUAGGGACGAAGCGCAAGUGACGGUACCUACAGAAGAAGCACCGGCCAACGUACGCGCCAGUAGCCGC